CCGGGCUUCUACAGUAAGCGAAUUCCGUCCGAACUUCUAUUGCAAGCGGACUCCAUCCAGACUUCCACGGCAACCGAUCUCCAUCUGGGCUUCCACGGCAAUCGAUCUCCAUCCGAGCUUCUACGAUAAGCGGUCUCCAUCCGGACUUCCACGGCAACCGGUCUCCAUUCGAACUUCUACAGUAAGCGGCCUCCUUCCAGACUCCGUCCGAACUUCUACAACAGAAUUGGAUUCCAGACGAACUUCUACAACGGACGGACUCCAUCUCAGUUACAACUGAGUAGUGCUGGAUGCCAAGGAAGGAGUUUGAAUCUUCUAUAGUCUCCACUAUU
rnacentral:lncRNA from 1 species